rnacentral:rRNA from 1 species
UACAGAGGGUGCGAGCGUUGUCCGGAAUCACUGGGCGUAAAGGGCGCGUAGGUGGCGCCGCAAGUCCAUGGUGAAAGCUCGAUGCUCAACAUCGAGUCGGCCACGGAGACUGCGGGGCUCGAGCACUGUAGGGGCAGAUGGAAUUCCGGGUGUAGCGGUGGAAUGCGUAGAGAUCCGGAAGAACACCGGUGGCGAAGGCGGCUCACUGGCCCGGUACUGACGCUGAGGUGCGAAAGCGUGGGGAGCAAACAGG